UACGUAGGGACCGAGCGUUGUCCGGAAUCAUUGGGCGUAAAGAGCGUGUAGGCGGCCACUUAAGUCCUGCGUGAAAUCUUGCGGCUCAACCGCAAGCGGUCGUGGGAAACUGGGUGGCUAGAGUGCGGGAGAGGAGAGUGGAAUUCCUGGUGUAGCGGUGGAAUGCGCAGAUAUCAGGAAGAGCACCCGUGGCGAAGGCGGCUCUCUGGAACGCAACUGACGCUGAGACGCGAAAGCGUGGGGAGCAAACAGG
rnacentral:rRNA from 1 species